rnacentral:rRNA from 1 species
AUUGAACGCUGGCGGCAGGCCUAACACAUGCAAGUCGAACGGUAACAGGAAGAAGCUUGCUUCUUUGCUGACGAGUGGCGGACGGGUGAGUAAUGUCUGGGAAACUGCCUGAUGGAGGGGGAUAACUACUGGAAACGGUAGCUAAUACCGCAUAACGUCGCAAGACCAAAGAGGGGGACCUUCGGGCCUCUUGCCAUCGGAUGUGCCCAGAUGGGAUUAGCUAGUAGGUGGGGUAACGGCUCACCUAGGCGACGAUCCCUAGCUGGUCUGAGAGGAUGACCAGCCACACUGGAACUGAGACACGGUCCAGACUCCUACGGGAGGCAGCAGUGGGGAAUAUUGCACAAUGGGCGCAAGCCAGAUGCAGCCAUGCCGCGUGUAUGAAGAAGGCCUUCGGGUUGUAAAGUACUUUCAGCGGGGAGGAAGGGAGUAAAGUUAAUACCUUUGCUCAUUGACGUUACCCGCAGAAGAAGCACCGGCUAACUCCGUG